CGGCGGACGGGUGAGUAACGCGUGGGUAACCUGCCUCAUACAGGGGGAUAACAGUUAGAAAUGACUGCUAAUACCGUAUAAGCGCACAGGACCGCAUGGUCAAGUGUGAAAAACUCCGGUGGUAUGAGAUGGACCCGCGUCUGAUUAGCUGGUUGGUGAGGUAACGGCCCACCAAGGCGACGAUCAGUAGCCGACCUGAGAGGGUGGCCGGCCACAUUGGGACUGAGACACGGCCCAAACUCCUACGGAAGGCAGCAG
rnacentral:rRNA from 1 species